AUCCUAGUGGACAAAUUGGUAAAGUCAACACCCUUUCACGGUGUGGUUUAGGGGUUCAAGUCCCCUCUAGGAUGCCA
rnacentral:tRNA from 1 species